rnacentral:rRNA from 1 species
AUACGGAGGAUGCGAGCGUUAUCCGGAUUUAUUGGGUUUAAAGGGUGCGUAGGCGGCCUUGUAAGUCAGCGUUGAAAUUUUGCAGCUUAACUGUAAAAGUGCCGUUGAUACUGUGAGGCUAGGAUUUGGUUGCUGUGGGUGGAAUGUGUGGUGUAGCGGUGAAAUGCUUAGAGAUCACACAGAAUAUCGAUUGCGAAGGCAGCUCACAAAGCCAAGAUUGACGCUGAGGCACGAAAGUGUGGGGAUCAAACAGGAUUAGAUACCCUGGUAGUCCACACUGUAAACGAUGAUAACUCGCUGUCGGCGAUAUACAGUCGGUGGCCAAGCGAAAGCGAUAAGUUAUCCACCUGGGGAGUACGACCGCAAGGUUGAAACUCAAAUGAAUUGACGGGG